ensembl:snRNA U6 U6 spliceosomal RNA
GUACUCACUUCAUCAGCACACAUACUAAAAUUGGAGUGAUACAAAGAAGAUUAGCAUGGCCCCUCCUCAAGGAUGACAUGCAAAUUCAUAAAGUGUUUCAUAUUUUU